rnacentral:rRNA from 2 species
UACGUAUGGAGCAAGCGUUAUCCGGAUUUACUGGGUGUAAAGGGAGUGUAGGCGGCAUGGCAAGUCUGAUGUGAAAAUCCGGGGCUUAACCCCGGACCUGCAUUGGAAACUGUCAGGCUGGAGUGUCGGAGAGGUAAGUGGAAUUCCUAGUGUAGCGGUGAAAUGCGUAGAUAUUAGGAGGAACACCAGUGGCGAAGGCGGCUUACUGGACGACAACUGACGCUGAGGCUCGAAAGCGUGGGGAGCAAACAGG